GAUGAACGCUGGCGGCGUGCCUAAUACAUGCAAGUCGAGCGAACGGACGAGAAGCUUGCUUCUCUGAUGUUAGCGGCGGACGGGUGAGUAACACGUGGAUAACCUACCUAUAAGACUGGGAUAACUUCGGGAAACCGGAGCUAAUACCGGAUAAUAUUUUGAACCGCAUGGUUCAAAAGUGAAAGACGGUCUUGCUGUCACUUAUAGAUGGAUCCGCGCUGCAUUAGCUAGUUGGUAAGGUAACGGCUUACCAAGGCAACGAUGCAUAGCCGACCUGAGAGGGUGAUCGGCCACACUGGAACUGAGACACGGUCCAGACUCCUACGGGAGGCAGCAGUAGGGAAUCUUCCGCAAUGGGCGAAAGCCUGACGGAGCAACGCCGCGUGAGUGAUGAAGGUCUUCGGAUCGUAAAACUCUGUUAUUAGGGAAGAACAUAUGUGUAAGUAACUGUGCACAUCUUGACGGUACCUAAUCAGAAAGCCACGGCUAACUACGUGCCAGCAGCCGCGGUAAUACGUAGGUGGCAAGCGUUAUCCGGAAUUAUUGGGCGUAAAGCGCGCGUAGGCGGUUUUUUAAGUCUGAUGUGAAAGCCCACGGCUCAACCGUGGAGGGUCAUUGGAAACUGGAAAACUUGAGUGCAGAAGAGGAAAGUGGAAUUCCAUGUGUAGCGGUGAAAUGCGCAGAGAUAUGGAGGAACACCAGUGGCGAAGGCGACUUCCUGGUCUGUAACUGGCGCUGAUGUGCGAAAGCGUGGGGAUCAAACAGGAUUAGAUACCCUGGUAGUCCACGCCGUAAACGAUGAGUGCUAAGUGUUAGGGGGUUUCCGCCCCUUAGUGCUGCAGCUAACGCAUUAAGCACUCCGCCUGGGGAGUACGACCGCAAGGUUGAAACUCAAAGGAAUUGACGGGGACCCGCACAAGCGGUGGAGCAUGUGGUUUAAUUCGAAGCAACGCGAAGAACCUUACCAAAUCUUGACAUCCUUUGACAACUCUAGAGAUAGAGCUUUCCCCUUCGGGGGACAAAGUGACAGGUGGUGCAUGGUUGUCGUCAGCUCGUGUCGUGAGAUGUUGGGUUAAGUCCCGCAACGAGCGCAACCCUUAAGCUUAGUUGCCAUCAUUAAGUUGGGCACUCUAAGUUGACUGCCGGUGACAAACCGGAGGAAGGUGGGGAUGACGUCAAAUCAUCAUGCCCCUUAUGAUUUGGGCUACACACGUGCUACAAUGGACAAUACAAAGGGCAGCGAAACCGCGAGGUCAAGCAAAUCCCAUAAAGUUGUUCUCAGUUCGGAUUGUAGUCUGCAACUCGACUACAUGAAGCUGGAAUCGCUAGUAAUCGUAGAUCAGCAUGCUACGGUGAAUACGUUCCCGGGUCU
rnacentral:rRNA from 1 species